rnacentral:misc_RNA from 1 species
AACGCACAUUGCGCCCUCUGGUAUUCCGGGGGGCAUGCCUGUUCGAGCGUCAUUAUAACCACUCAAGCUCUCGCUUGGUAUUGGGGUUCGCGGUUUCGCGGCCCCUAAAAUCAGUGGCGGUGCCUGUCGGCUCUACGCGUAGUAAUACUCCUCGCGAUUGAGUCCGGUAGGUUUACUUGCCAGCAACCCUUAAUUUUUACAGGUUGACCUCGGAUCAGGUAGGGAUACCCGCUGAACUUAA